rnacentral:rRNA from 1 species
CACUGAGUUGUUGAAGGGCUGCGGUAAUUUGACCGUGCAAAGGUAGCAUAAUCAAUAGUCUUUUAAUUGAGGGCUUGAAUGAAAGGUUUGACGGAGGAGAGACUGUCUUUUUGGCUUAUAUUGAAUUUAACAUUUGUGUGAAAAGGCAUUAAUAUUUUAAAGGGACGAUAAGACCCUAUAAAAUUUAACAUGUUGAUAUUAUUUAGUUGAGUUGUUUAGUAAUGGUUAGAUGGUUGGGUGUGUUUUGCUGGGGCGGCAAGGAUAUAAAUGGUAACUGUCUUAAAUAUAGAAUACUUGUUAGUAGAAAGUGGUCUUUUAUUAAAGAGGUAAGAUUAAAUUACUUUAGGGAUAACAGCAUAAUUUCUUUUAAGAGUUCGUAUCGAAGAUGAUAGUUGUGACCUCGAUGUUGAAUUAAAUUUUCUUUUAGGUGUAGGAGUUUAA